UACGGAGGGUGCAAGCGUUGUUCGGAAUUAUUGGGCGUAAAGCGCGUGUAGGCGGUUGGGCAAGUCAGAUGUGAAAGCCUUCCGCUCAACGGAAGAAGUGCAUUUGAAACUACCCGGCUUGAGUUCGGGAGAGGAGAGUGGAAUUCCCGGUGUAGAGGUGAAAUUCGUAGAUAUCGGGAGGAACACCGGUGGCGAAGGCGACUCUCUGGCCCGAUACUGACGCUGAGACGCGAAAGCGUGGGGAGCAAACAGG
rnacentral:rRNA from 1 species